GUCAAGAAGAAGUUCUCAAGGGCCUGAAAAACACUUUUGAAGGGAACCUUGUGUUUGACUUCUUCAACCCACAAAAAAGACUUGACACAUUGAAAGCGUGCUGGCCAGCUCUUUUAUAGAUUGCCCUUCAAAUUGGGUUUGACUGAUAUUUCUUUGAUUCAAUUGAAGUUACCCAUUUGGGCAAGGAACACACACAAAAAAGUGACGUUGUGUCUUUCCCAGUGCGAAGUUACUUCUUUAUCGAUUCUUAACAGUUUGUCCCACAACCGAGCCUGUCACCCACGACUACGAUUCAGUGCCUGUGAUCUC